AUUGAACGCUGGCGGCAUGCCUUACACAUGCAAGUCGAACGGUAACAGAUCUUCGGAUGCUGACGAGUGGCGAACGGGUGAGUAAUACAUCGGAACGUGCCUAGUAGUGGGGGAUAACUACUCGAAAGAGUGGCUAAUACCGCAUGAGAUCUACGGAUGAAAGCAGGGGAUCGCAAGACCUUGUGCUACUAGAGCGGCCGAUGGCAGAUUAGGUAGUUGGUGGGAUAAAAGCUUACCAAGCCGACGAUCUGUAGCUGGGCUGAGAGGACGAUCAGCCAAACUGGGACUGAGAACCGGCCCAGACUCCUACGGGAGGCAGCAGUGGGGAAUUUUGGACAAUGGGCGCAAGCCUGAUCCAGCAAUGCCGCGUGCAGGAUGAAGGCCUUCGGGUUGUAAACUGCUUUUGUACGGAACGAAAAGCCCUGGGUUAAUACCCUGGGGUCAUGACGGUACCGUAAGAAUAAGCACCGGCUAACUACGUGCCAGCCGCCGCGGUAAGAC
rnacentral:rRNA from 1 species